GUGCCAGCAGCCGCGGUAAUACGUAGGGGGCAAGCGUUGUCCGGAUUUACUGGGUGUAAAGGGCGCGCAGGCGGGUUGACAAGUCAGAGGUGAAAUCCUACAGCUUAACUGUAGAACUGCCUUUGAGACUGUCAAUCUUGAGUACGGAAGAGAGAUGGAAUUCCAGGUGUAGUGGUGAAAUACGUAGAUAUCUGGAAGAACACCAGUGGCGAAGGCGGUCUCUUGGCCCUAUACUGACGCUAAGGCGCGAAAGCGUGGGGAGCAAACAGGAUUAGAAACCCCUGUAGUCC
rnacentral:rRNA from 1 species